CUGCUAUGAAGAAAUACCCAAGACUGGGUACUUUCUCAACUUUCAAAUUGAGCUGUUCAGAAUGUGUGAAACAAUUUUAAGAUGAAGUCAAAGAUACUUGAAGCAGAAGCUGUAUCUGAGGAAGCUGUAUAUAAACCCAAUUUAAAGCAAGUUUAACCUGCUGAUUGGGAAGAAUUUUUAUGAAAAGCUGUGUGCUUCCUGAUAAGAAAAAAGGCUUUCCUGUUUCGAUCAAACCAGAACCAGACUGCAGACAUCAAUGAAGAUUCAUCAUAAAGACCUGAGUCCUGAUGUAUAAGUGAAUACAUGAAUAAUUAAACAAACAAAAGCUUUCUCGCAGGGCCCUGAAAAACAAUAGAGAAAGAUAAUACAAGAAAAUGUUGUACAAAAUCUAUAAAGUAGAGCUGCUAUAAGAAGGCAGCUGACUACAUGAUUUCUCAAGAAAAAAACAGAAUGAAUAAAUUGAUGUUACAUUUAAGGAUCUAGCAUUCAAUGCUUUAUUGCAGUUAAUGAUCUGAAAUAGUGGAGUAGAAUACUAACUGAAAGAAUUUUGCUGAAAUAAAAAGAAAAUCUAGAAAAAGAAGACAAACAUGAAGGAAAUCUUAGGAAUCUAAUAGGAAAAUAUGGGAA
rnacentral:lncRNA from 10 species